GAUGAACGCUGGCGGCGUGCCUAAUACAUGCAAGUCGAGCGAACAGGCGAGGAGCUUGCUCCUCUGACGUUAGCGGCGGACGGGUGAGUAACACGUGGAUAACCUACCUAUAAGACUGGGAUAACUUCGGGAAACCGGAGCUAAUACCGGAUAAUAUAUUGAACCGCAUGGUUCAAUAGUGAAAGACGGUUUUGCUGUCACUUAUAGAUGGAUCCGCGCCGCAUUAGCUAGUUGGUAAGGUAACGGCUUACCAAGGCAACGAUGCGUAGCCGACCUGAGAGGGUGAUCGGCCACACUGGAACUGAGACACGGUCCAGACUCCUACGGGAGGCAGCAGUAGGGAAUCUUCCGCAAUGGGCGAAAGCCUGACGGAGCAACGCCGCGUGAGUGAUGAAGGUCUUCGGAUCGUAAAACUCUGUUAUUAGGGAAGAACAAAUGUGUAAGUAACUAUGCACGUCUUGACGGUACCGAAUCAGAAAGCCACGGCUAACUACGUG
rnacentral:rRNA from 1 species